UUAAAUGGCCGCAGUAAUUUGACUGUGCAAAGGUAGCAUAAUCAUUAGUUUUUUAAUUAGAAGCUAGAAUGAAUGGUUGGACGAGAUAUAAUCUGUCUUUGGAUAAAAAAUAGAAUUUAAUUUUUAAGUUAAAAAGCUUAAAUAAAAAUAAAAGACGAGAAGACCCUAUAGAUUUUUAUAUUAUUAAUUAUAUUAAAUAUUAAGCUUAUUUAAUUUAUUAUAUUGAAUAUUAUUUUAUUGGGGUAAUAAGAAGAUUAAAUUAAUUCUUUGGUUAAUUUUACAAUGAUAUUUGAUUUAUUUGAUCCUUUUUUAGAGAUUAUAAGAUUAAGUUACCUUAGGGAUAACAGCGUAAUUUUUUUGAAGAGUUCAUAUCGAUAAAAAAGUUUGCGACCUCGAUGUUGGAUUAAAAAUUAUUCUAGGAGAAGAAGUUUAGAAUUUUGGUCUGUUCGACCAUUAAAUUUUUACAUGAUCUGAGUUCAGACCGGUGUAAGCCAGGUCGGUUUCUAUCUUUAUUUGAGAAGGAUAUUUUAGUACGAAAGGACCAAAUAUCUAAUAUAUUAAUAUUUAUAAUUUGAAUAGUAUUAUUACUUUGGCAGAUUAGUGUAAUAAAUUUAGAAUUUAUGAAUGUAAGUAUUUUACAAGUAAUAUUGUUUU
rnacentral:rRNA from 1 species